rnacentral:rRNA from 1 species
UACGUAGGGUGCGAGCGUUGUCCGGAAUUACUGGGCGUAAAGAGCUCGUAGGUGGUUUGUCGCGUCGUCUGUGAAAUUCCGGGGCUUAACUUCGGGCGUGCAGGCGAUACGGGCAAUACUUGAGUGCUGCAGGGGAGACUGGAAUUCCUGGUGUAGCGGUGAAAUGCGCAGAUAUCAGGAGGAACACCAAUGGCGAAGGCAGGUCUCUGGGCAGUUACUGACGCUGAGGAGCGAAGGCAUGGGUAGCGAACAGGAUUA